rnacentral:rRNA from 1 species
GUGGGGAAUAUUCCGCAAUGGACGAAAGUCUGACGGAGCAACGCCGCGUGAGUGAUGAAGGUUUUCGGACUGUAAAGCUCUGUUGUUUAGGACGAAAGUGCCUGUUGCAAAUAGUUACAGGUAUUGACGGUACUGAACGAGGAAGCCACGGCUAACUACGUGCCAGCAGCCGCGGUAAUACGUAGGUGGCAAGCGUUGUCCGGAAUUAUUGGGCGUAAAGAGCAUGUAGGCGGGAAUCUAAGUCUGUUGUGAAAAUGCGGGGCUCAACCCCGUAUUGCGAUGGAAACUGGGUUUCUUGAGUGCAGGAGAGGAAAGGGGAAUUCCCAGUGUAGCGGUGAAAUGCGUAGAUAUUGGGAGGAACACCAGUGGCGAAGGCGCCUUUCUGGACUGUGUCUGACGCUGAGAUGUGAAAGCCAGGGUAGCGAACGGGAUUAGAAACCCCUGUAGUCC